CUCUCUCUCUCUUGAAUUAGUCUAAGUGUUAUAUAUCUCAGUUAAUCCACUACAUAUUUGGCGUCACGAACAGGAUGAAAUAGGGACUCGUCAGCUGCCGGGCCAGAGGACGGGACGCGAACGGAUCAUACGACCAGAGCUCAAGGAUGGGUAGAAGCAGUCCCAUCAGAAGACCAAAGUGCGGUUACGGUAAUCAAGGUUCUGACUGGAGAAGUCAUGCCAAGGUUUGGAAUUCCGUCACAAAUUAGCUCAGGCAAUAGGGCAGCGUUUAUUCAGAAAACACUCAAACAAUUGAUUUAACACCUGCAUGUCAAACAAAGAUUAGGCUGUGUCUACAUUCCUCAAACCACAAGGUAUGGUGGAGAGAGGAAUCGGACGCUUAAGAGAAAGAUUAACAAAAUUAAAUUAGAGUACUAAAUUAAAGGACUAAUGCACUACGACUGACACCAAUGAGUUAUCGCAUGAAAACUAACAGAACGACGCAUCUAACCCCGCAUGAAAUGUUUACGGGUCGACCCAUGCCUUCACCUGUCAUUCGAGGGCCUCACAAAGGACCUCCAUUGGAACAAUUGGAAACUGAAUUAAGACGCUAUAUGGGACAACUAACUGGCAUACACAGGCUUCUUUUUCAACAGGAGAAAGACAGAGUUCCAGAGUAGGAGAAGGAGCCACCAAGGGGGGUGGAGCCAGGUGACCAAGUGUACCUCAGGAUGUUCAGGAGAAAGUGGAACGAGCCCAGGAGAGAAGGACCAUACAAAGUCACCAACGCAACACCAACAGCCAUCCAAGUGGAAGGAAGGGCCACGUGGUAUCAUCUCAACCACUGCACAAAAGCCGCUCAACCUAAAGCCAGGGAUGAGCGUGAGGAGGAGGAGCCAGACGCAGACACACCUGGGGCUGACCAGCUGCCCCAGGACCAGAUCCAGUCGAGUCAAGAGAUACAGCAACAUGAUGAUGCUGAAAACGGGGAGCCUGUUCCUGAUCCUUUACGGGUUGUGCUAGAUUCCGCUGGCACAAGGACAGACCCGAGGAGGAAUGAAACCAUGGAGACAACACAGACCUGGAAGAGCCAGGAAUCAGGGGCUGUUACUGAAGGAAGCCUAAGAGAAAGACAGGACAAUCCGGCCCCAACUCACUCAGGAAUAGUCAACAAGAAAGGGAAAAUAGUCCUAUAUGCUCAGAUACCACCGCAGAACCAAGUUAAUGAAUUUGUGUUUGCUGUUAUGUCGGAUAACCAACCGUUACGUGCAUUAACCUUCAGCCAGUCUGGCAUAGAGGAGUCGGGUGACUGGGAGAGGACGCUCUAUGGGGAGAUAGAUUGGAGUGAAACUAGAGAGGAGACCGGAAUGUGAGAAUCAGACAUUAGAAGGAGGUCCUAUUUUCAUAACUGGUGACCUCUCCAUGGGAACCACAACCAUUUCAGACAGUGUGAACAAAUGGACAUUGGACUAAUGGGUUCCAGGGCAUGGUGGCUGCGAACAGAAGCAACUACGGUGCCCAAACCCCCCACGUUAUGUAGUAUACCAGUACAUGACGAUAAUCAGAGCUAUCUAAAUCCAUGCAAGCUUGUUGACAAUUUUAGCUUUUAAUUUCUAUUAUUUACUUAUUUUUUGAAAUAUCAUUUUUGAGUUUCAUAUUUUUAUGUCAUAUAUUCUGAAAUGCUAAUUUUCAAUGCAUGCUGAAAAUACUGUGUUAUGUGUAGACAUGUUAGACAUUUGAUAGAUCUUUUUUGCCUUAAACCAGGUUGAGACUCCUGAACAUGUAUAAAGGUUUUUUAACGAUGAUCAAAUGUAGUGCAAAAUAUGACCCAAACGACUGUUAUGUUUUUGUUGUGAUCUUAGUAGUCACAAAAGGGGAGAUGUGUGGUAGAAAUUAGUGAGUAUAUUCUAUGGUAAACCAUGAUUAUUAAUAGGUUUAAUAUUUUAAAUGGUGGAAAGCACAUGAUGCUUGCAGAGUCUGGGUUCAGAACAGAUGGAGCACAGGAAUGUCCAGGGAACUGCGGGGUCAAGUCAUGUUGACCUCAGCCUUUCAGCCUUGGGUCAUCUUGGCUAACGAGGUCAAUCCAUGCGGACCUCAGACCAGGGCGCGGUUGAUAGCAUGCUGAGACGAAGAUUGACUGGGCGGAAACCCCAUUGGGACUCCAUUGUAACAAAGAAAUUCCUGUAUGUGUAUAAAGUGAAGCUGGAGUCGAUGUUCGAGCAGUGACUCUAUAGACC
ensembl:lncRNA